GGAUAGCUCAUUCUGGUAGAGCAACUGACCAAGGAUCAGUCUGUAGCGGGUUCGAAUCCCGUUCCA
rnacentral:tRNA from 1 species